rnacentral:ribozyme from 14 species
UUUUUUUUUUUUUUUUUUUUUUUUUCCCACUGCUAGGCAUGCAAAAUUGAUACAUGCGGCAGUGGAAAG